UGUGACUGUAUCUGGAAAUCGAGUCUUGACAGAUGUGAUUAAGUUAAGAUGAAGUCAUUAGGGUGGGCCUUAAUCCAGUAUGACUGAUUUCCUUAUAAAAGGGGCACGUUAUGGCAGAGACAACACAGACAGAGGGAAGACUGUGUGAGGACACAAUGAGAAGACAGCCGUCUGCAAGCCAAGAAGAGAGGCCUCGGAAGAAACCAACCCUGCCAACACCUUGAUCAUGGACAACUAGCCUCUAGAAUUGUGAGAAAAUACUUGUCGGGUGUUUAAGCCACUCAGUCUGUGGUAUUUUGUUGUGGCAGCCCUAGCACACGGAGAGAGAUUUUGGUGCCAAGUGUGGUUUGGAAGGUAGUUGUAAUUACCAGCUAUGACCACGUGACCAGUUACAGAAGUGAGGACUGUGAUUACCACGAGUAUUUCUUCCUUGUUUCAUUAUGAAUACAUUUGUGUGCAUGCAUACAUAGUACAUACGUAUACAUACAUAUAUGCAUGUAUGUAUAUAGAGUAAGCAAAUAUCUUAGUUUUCUUUCCUGUCUUAUACUCAUAUCUUGCUACAUAAGAGGUAUUGACAAUAGGUCUUAGAAUUUAACUUAUAAAAUGUGAAGAACUGUAAACAUCACUCAAGGACUUUAUCUCCUCUUCCAGGAAAAAGGUUAGUGCAUUCUCAGUUGCAUGUAGGAUAGCUGUAUCACGUUAGGUGGAAAUAUUAUCUUGUUAUUGCCUUUAUUUGCAAAUUAAGUAUGUUUUAACAUAUAUGUAUGCCAAGGUGACAACGGGUGGACUUGUGAUGAUUCAUUUUGUGUGUCAACUAUGGGGCUGUGGCACCCAGAUACUUGUCAAACACUAGUCUAGAUGUUACUGUGAAGGUAUCUUUUAGAUAAGACUAAUGUUUAACUCUGUAAGCUUUGAGGAAAACAGAUAACACCCCACAUCAUGGGUGGGCCUCAUCUAAUCAAUCGAAGGCCUUAAGAGACCACAGACUGACCUCUCUCAAGGAAGGAGGAAUUCUGCCAGCAGGCUGCCUUCAGACUCGAACUGUUCUGUUUCUCUGGAGAACCCUGACUAAUAUACAUUCCUAGCCUCCUUCUUACCUCAGGACCUUUGCACCUGCUAGUCCCUCUACUCAGAAUGCUCCUUCUCACCUCCCAUCGUAUCAAAGGUAGCCCCCUUCACAGUAUGAUGCGAAGCUCAGAUGACAGAAAAGAAAUGAUUAAAACAAUUGACUUCACGUAAGUAUGAAAAAAAAAAUCUGCAAGGUAAAAAAAUCACCCUGAACAAAAUCAAGACAAAUGAUACUUUAGAAAAUAAAUUAAGUAAUAAAUAAUGCUUUUUUCAUUGUUUUAAAUUGAGGUAACAUUGAUUUAUAACAUUAUAUAAAUUUCAGGUGUACAUCAUUAUAUUUUGAUUUCUGUGU
rnacentral:lncRNA from 1 species